rnacentral:rRNA from 1 species
UGCCUAGUCGAACGAGUUCACACUCGUGGCACAUAGCUCAGUAACACGUGGCCAAGCUACCCUUCAGUCGGCAAUACCCUCGGGAAACUGAGGCUAAUAGCCGAUACGAAACAGACGCUGGAAUGCACUGUAUUCCAAAGACACCGCUGAAGGAUGCGGCUGCGGCCGAUUAGGUAGACGGUGGGGUAACGGCCCACCGUGCCAGUAAUCGGUACGGGUGAUGAGAGUCAGAGCCCGGAGACGGAAUCUGAGACAAGAUUCCGGGCCCUACGGGGCGCAGCAGGCGCGAAACCUUUACACUGCACGAAAGUGCGAUAGGGGAAUCCCAAGUGCGAGGGCAUAUUAGCCCUCGCUUUUGUUGACUCUAAGGCGGUCAACGAACAAGAGCUGGGCAAGACCGGUGCCAGCCGCCGCGGUAAUACCGGCAGCUCAAGUGAUGUCCCAUGUUAUUGGGCCUAAAGCGUCCGUAGCUGGCCGACCAAGUCUAUCGGGAAAUCCACCUGCCCAACAGGUGGGCGUCCGGUAGAAACUGGUCGGCUUGGAACCGGAAGGCUCAGAGAGUACGUCCGGGGUAGGAGUGAAAUCCCGUAAUCCCGGACGGACUACCGAUGGCGAAAGCACUCUGAGAAGACGGCUUCGACAGUGAGGGACGAAAGCUCGGGUCUCAAACCGGAUUAGAUACCCGGGUAGUCCGAGCCGUAAACAAUGCUCGUUAGGUGUGGCACCCACUACGAGUGGGUGCUGUGCCGCA